rnacentral:rRNA from 1 species
AUUGAACGCUGGCGGAAUGCUUUACACAUGCAAGUCGAACGGCAGCACGGACUUCGGUCUGGUGGCGAGUGGCGAACGGGUGAGUAAUGUAUCGGAACGUGCCCAGUCGUGGGGGAUAACGUAGUGAAAAUUACGCUAAUACCGCAUACGAUCUAUGGAUGAAAGCGGGGGAUCGCAAGACCUCGCGCGAUCGGAGCGGCCGAUAUCAGAUUAGGUAGUUGGGGGGGUAAAGGCCCACCAAGCCAACGAUCUGUAGCUGGUCUGAGAGGACGACCAGCCACACUGGAACUGAGACACGGUCCAGACUCCUACGGGAGGCGGCAGUGGGGAAUUUUGGACAAUGGGCGAAAGCCUGAUCCAGCCAUUCCGCGUGCAGGAUGAAGGCCCUCGGGUUGUAAACUGCUUUUGUACAGAACGAAAAGGUUUCUACUAAUACUAGGAGCUCAUGACGGUACUGUAAGAAUAAGCACCGGCUAACUACGUGCCAGCCGCCGCCGUAA